UACGUAGGGUGCGAGCGUUUGUCCGGAAUUAUUGGGCGUAAAGAGCUCGUAGGCGGUGUGUCACGUCGGCCGUGAAAACCUGCAGCUUAACUGUGGGCGUGCGGUCGAUACGGGCAUCACUGGAGUUCGGCAGGGGAGACUGGAAUUCCUGGUGUAGCGGUGAAAUGCGCAGAUAUCAGGAGGAACACCGGUGGCGAAGGCGGGGUCUCUGGGCCGAUACUGACGUGGAGGAGCGAAAAGCGUGGGGGAGCAAAACAGG
rnacentral:rRNA from 1 species